rnacentral:misc_RNA from 1 species
GUGAAUCAUCGAAUCUUUGAACGCAAAUUGCGCUCGAGGCCUCGGCCAAGAGCAUGUCUGUCUCAGCGUCGGCUAACCCCCCUCACUCCCCUCCCUUUGUUUCAAGGAGCCUGGGGCAGUGGAUCUGGCCGUCCCGGUGAACAGCCGGGUCGACCGAAGCACAGAGGCUUAGUGCUUGGACCCCUCGAAGGGCAACAGCUUGGUAGGUGGCUUAACGCUGCAUGCCGCUGGAGCCUUGGAGCCCAAGCCCGUUUGGCCUGCAGGAAACUCUUCAAUCAUUCGACCUGAGAUCAGGCAAGA